rnacentral:rRNA from 1 species
GAUGAACGCUGGCGGCGUGCUUAACACAUGCAAGUCGAACGGAAAGGCUCCUGCUUGCAGGGGUACUCGAGUGGCGAACGGGUGAGUAACACGUGGGUGAUCUGCCCUGCACUUCGGGAUAAGCCUGGGAAACUGGGUCUAAUACCGGAUAGGACGAUGGUUUGGAUGCCAUUGUGGAAAGUUUUUCGGUGUGGGAUGAGCUCGCGGCCUAUCAGCUUGUUGGUGGGGUAAUGGCCUACCAAGGCGUCGACGGGUAGCCGGCCUGAGAGGGUGUACGGCCACAUUGGGACUGAGAUACGGCCCAGACUCCUACGGGAGGCAGCAGUGGGGAAUAUUGCACAAUGGGCGCAAGCCUGAUGCGGCGACGCCGCGUGGGGGAUGACGGCCUUCGGGUUGUAAACUCCUUUCGCUAGGGACGAAGCGCAAGUGACGGUACCUGGAGAAGAAGCACCGGCUAACUACGUG